AUGGCUGAUCAUUCAUCAAGCAAUGGAAACCAUGAAAUAGCUUUGAAUGUAAAUGGCGAUUCCUCCAAAAAUUGUGAAGAUAACUCAGAAUUUAAAGACCAUGUUCCUCUUUUGCAAAAGUUGGUGGCAGAAGUGGUGGGAACAUACUUCUUGAUAUUUGCUGGAAGUGCUGCAGUUGUUGUAACCUUGACAAUGACAAAGUGA